AUGGCACCAUUAGAAGGGGAUUACCGUAGCUUAAUUAUUCGGGCGUCACAAUGCAAGGCUUAUGCAUUUGAGCCUGAUAUGAUUAUCACCUUUGAUAUUCGUCCGGAUGAUGAUACUGAAGGUAAUAGAGACAUCUGUGUCGAUGUGCAGACGCCUCCAAUUCUACCAUUAUCUUACUUCCAAUCAAGCAAACAUGUCCGGCGCUUGGUAGACAGGACCGUCCACUGUCCCGGGGCUGAACUAAACUGCGAGGAGACAAGUCAUUAUGUUUCAUGGCUUGAGGAUCUUGAUGCUGUCAAGACAAAUUUCUUUUCUGCACUUAGAAAUGGACUCCCGAUGAAUGUUGUGCCUGAUUGGAUCGAGACUAAAGGUACCAUGAAUAUUGUUAGCUUACGGCCAAGAUAUCCUACAAUGCACUUUAGUGCAUUUAGGAUUUCUAAUAGCGAGGAAUGCUUAAUAGUAAAAGACUGGAGCAAAAUUAUGAACGAUCACAGAGAAGUACUAGGGGGCAGCAAUCAGAAGCGCAACCCACGAUUAGGAGACAUGUUCAUCUGCAUGCUCCAAUAUGAUGAAUCAGCAAAUCUAUACAUGUUCUAUGCUAUUUUACCUGGGAGAGAGCAGCACGAGUGA
rnacentral:rRNA from 1 species